rnacentral:rRNA from 1 species
CUUACACAUGCAGUCGAACGAUGAAGCCCAGCUUGCUGGGUGGAUUAGUGGCGAACGGGUGAGGAACACGUGAAGAAUCUGCCUUCAACUCUGGGAUAACUCCGGGAAACCGGGGCUAAUACCGGAUAUGAGAUCUGCAGGCAUCUGCGGAUCUGGAAAGUUUUUCGGUUGAAGAUGACUUCGCGGCCUAUCAGCUUGUUGGUGAGGUAAAGGCUCACCAAGGCGACGACGGGUAGCCGGCCUGAGAGGGCGACCGGCCACACUGGGACUGAGACACGGCCCAGACUCCUACGGGAGGCAGCAGUGGGGAAUAUUGGGCAAUGGAGGGAACUCUGACCCAGCGACGCCGCGUGCGGGAUGAAGGCCUUCGGGUUGUAAACCGCUUUCAGCAGGGAAUAAGCGCAAGUGAAGGUACCUGCAGAAGAAGCACCGGCUAACUAUGUGCCAGCAGCCGCGGUAAUACAUAGGGUGCAAGCGUUGUCCGGAAUUAUUGGGCGUAAAGAGCUCGUAGGUGGUUAGUUACGUCGGAUGUGAAAAUCAGGGGCUCAACCCCUGACCUGCAUCCGAUACGGACUAGCUAGAGUUUGGUAGGGGAGACUGGAAUUCCUGGUGUAGCGGUGGAAUGCGCAGAUAUCAGGAGGAACACCGAUGGCGAAGGCAGGUCUCUGGGCCAAUACUGACACUGAGGAGCGAAAGCGUGGGGAGCGAACAGGAUUAGAUACCCUGGUAGUCCACGCCGUAAACGGUGGGCGCUAGUUGUGCGAACCUUCCACGGUUUGUGCGACGCAGCUAACGCAUUAAGCGCCCCGCCUGGGGAGUACGAUCGCAAGAUUAAAACUCAAAGGAAUUGACGGGGCCCCGCACAAGCAGCGGAGCAUGCGGCUUAAUUCGA